rnacentral:rRNA from 1 species
CUACGGGGCGCUGCAGUGGGGAAUAUUGGACAAUGGGCGUAAGCCUGAUCCAGCAAUGCCGCGUGUGUGAAGAAGGCCUGCGGGUUGUAAAGCACUUUAAGCAGGAAAGAAGGUUUCAAGGCUAAUACCCUUGGAAAUUGACGUUACCUGCAGAAUAAGCACCGGCUAACUCCGUGCCAGCAGCCGCGGUAAUACGGAGGGUGCGAGCGUUAAUCGGAAUUACUGGGCGUAAAGCGCGCGUAGGCGGUCGGCUAAGUCUGCUGUGAAAGCCCUGGGCUUAACCUGGGAACUGCAGUGGAUACUGGUCGGCUAGAGUAUGGUAGAGGAGAGUGGAAUUUCCGGUGUAGCAGUGAAAUGCGUAGAGAUCGGAAGGAACACCAGUGGCGAAGGCGGCUCUCUGGACCAAUACUGACGCUGAGGUGCGAAAGCGUGGGGAGCAAACAGGAUUAGAUACCCGCGUAGUC